rnacentral:rRNA from 1 species
AAGAGCUUGCUUUUCUGAUGACGACCGGCGCACGGGUGCGUAACGCGUAUGCAACCUACCUUAUACUGGGGAAUAGCCAGAAGAAAUUCUGAUUAAUGCCCCAUAGUAUUUAUUAACCGCAUGGUUUUAUAAAUUAAAGAUUACGGUAUAAGAUGGGCAUGCGUCCUAUUAGCUAGAUGGUAAGGUAACGGCUUACCAUGGCAACGAUAGGUAGGGGGCCUGAGAGGGUGAUCCCCCACACUGGUACUGAGACACGGACCAGACUCCUACGGGAGGCAGCAGUGAGGAAUAUUGGGCAAUGGAGGCAACUCUGACCCAGCCAUGCCGCGUGCAGGAAGAAGGUUCUAUGGAUCGUAAACUGCUUUUAUUUGUGAAUAAACUCUCGGACGUGUCCGAGCCUGAAUGUAGCAAAUGAAUAAGCACCGGCUAACUCCGUGCCAGCAGCCGCGGUAAUACGGAGGGUGCAAGCGUUAUCCGGAAUCAUUGGGUUUAAAGGGUCCGCAGGCGGACUUAUAAGUCAGUGGUGAAAUCUCACAGCUUAACUGUGAAACUGCCAUUGAUACUGUAAGUC